rnacentral:rRNA from 1 species
GUGUCAGCCGCCGCGGUAAUACGUAGGGUGCGAGCGUUGUCCGGAAUUACUGGGCGUAAAGAGCUCGUAGGUGGUUUGUCGCGUUGUUCGUGAAAACUCACAGCUUAACUGUGGGCGUGCGGGCGAUACGGGCAGACUGGAGUACUGCAGGGGAGACUGGAAUUCCUGGUGUAGCGGUGGAAUGCGCAGAUAUCAGGAGGAACACCGGUGGCGAAGGCGGGUCUCUGGGCAGUAACUGACGCUGAGGAGCGAAAGCGUGGGGAGCGAACAGGAUUAGAAACCCCGGUAGUCC